rnacentral:rRNA from 1 species
CGAACGGGAUGCUUAGGCAUCUAGUGGCGGACGGGUGAGUAACGCGUGAGAAUCUGGCUCCAGGUCGGGGAUAACAGUUGGAAACGACUGCUAAUACCGGAUGCGCCGAAAGGUGAAAGAUUUAUUGCCUGGAGAUGAGCUCGCGUCUGAUUAGCUAGUUGGUGGUGUAAGGGACCACCAAGGCGUCGAUCAGUAGCUGGUCUGAGAGGAUGAUCAGCCACACUGGGACUGAGACACGGCCCAGACUCCUACGGGAGGCAGCAGUGGGGAAUUUUCCGCAAUGGGCGAAAGCCUGACGGAGCAAUACCGCGUGAGGGAGGAAGGCUCUUGGGUCGUAAACCUCUUUUCUCAAGGAAGAAGAAAGUGACGGUACUUGAGGAAUAAGCAUCGGCUAACUCCGUGCCAGCAGCCGCGGUAAUACGGAGGAUGCAAGCGUUAUCCGGAAUGAUUGGGCGUAAAGGGUCUGCAGGUGGAACUGAAAGUCUGCUGUUAAAGAGUUUGGCUUAACCAAAUAAAAGCGGUGGAAACUACAGAACUAGAGUGUGGUAGGGGCAAAAGGAAUUCCUGGUGUAGCGGUGAAAUGCGUAGAUAUCAGGAAGAACACCGGUGGCGAAAGCGUUUUGCUAGACCAUAACUGACACUGAGGGACGAAAGCUAGGGGAGCGAAUGGGAUUAGAUACCCCAGUAGUCCUAGCCGUAAACGAUGGAUACUAGGCGUGGCUUGUAUCGACCCGAGCCGUGCCGGAGCUAACGCGUUAAGUAUCCCGCCUGGGGAGUACGCACGCAAGUGUGAAACUCAAAGGAAUUGACGGGGGCCCGCACAAGCGGUGGAGUAUGUGGUUUAAUUCGAUGCAACGCGAAGAACCUUACCAAGACUUGACAUCCUGCGAAUCCUGGUGAAAGCUGGGAGUGCCUUCGGGAGCGCAGAGACAGGUGGUGCAUGGCUGUCGUCAGCUCGUGUCGUGAGAUGUUGGGUUAAGUCCCGCAACGAGCGCAACCCUCGUUUUUAGUUGCCAGCAUUAAGUUGGGCACUCUAGAGAGACUGCCGGUGACAAACCGGAGGAAGGUGAGGAUGACGUCAAGUCAGCAUGCCCCUUACGUCUUGGGCUACACACGUACUACAAUGCUACGGACAGAGGGCAGCGAGCCAGGGAUGGCAAGCGAAUCCAGAAACCGUAGCUCAGUUCAGAUCGAAGGCUGCAACUCGCCUUCGUGAAGGAGGAAUCGCUAGUAAUUGCAGGUCAGCAUACUGCAGUGAAUUCGUUCCCGGGCCUUGUACACACCGCCCGUCACACCAUGGAAGUUGGUCACGCCCGAAGUCAUUACCCCAACCGAAAGGAGGGGGAUGCCUAAGGUAGGACUGGUGACUGGGGUGAAGUCGUAACAAGGUAGCCGUACCGGAAGGUGUGGCUGGAUCACCUCCUUU